rnacentral:rRNA from 1 species
CGAAUGGCGUAACGACUUCCCCACUGUCUCCAGCAUAGACUCAGUGAAAUUGAACUCUCCGUGAAGAUGCGGAGUUCCUGCGGUCAGACGGAAAGACCCCGUGAACCUUUACUACAGCUUCACAUUGGGUUUGGGUAUAGGAUGUGUAGGAUAGGUGGGAGACUACGAAGUUGUCACGCUAGUGAUGGUGGAGUCGUCCUUGAAAUACCACCCUUCCUAUACUUAGAUUCUAACUCUGUAAAGAGGACAUUGUGUGGUGGGUAGUUUGACUGGGGUGGUCGCCUCC